UUUGGCUCUUUGGUUUGAUAUUUGCUUCAAUAUCCAAUAUCAGCCAACCUUGACCUGGACAGUGAAGUCAUAGACUCUUAACAGUCAGCCGUGAUUUCAGAGAUCAUGUGGAUGAAACUCUGUUUAAUGGAAAACCUUUUUCAUGACGGUCCUGCCUUGACCGUCAGCCUCGGCGCGGAUGCAGUUGGGGACAAGGUGCUAACUCCCUCCAAAACUAUCUCAUUUUUCUUAUUUGAAUAAACCCCAUUUCCCUGUAACUUCCUCCUCACUCUUUGAUUCUCUGACAGCUUCGGGGUAUUUGAAGCCAACCUGGAUCGGCCCCAGCCUUUCUAACACCUCCUUUCUCUAGUUUAAACUAGAAGCUCUCUGCGUGUGUCAGCUGCUUGUGACAUAACAUGGGUUUGAGACCCCCUCUUUCCCAGUGUCCCCAGCGGAGGAGGUCUCUAGAACCAGGUUCACCCAGGGACAGCAGAGCAGAGCCUUCCCUCUAUGUCGAAGACCUCAAUUCUGCAGUAGGAACACCUGCCCUGACACCCUCCGAAAGAAUCAGGGUAGAAGGUAUGAAAGCAGAAGCCUGAAAGAAUUUCACCUUCCAACUCUGAGGACUAGGCCUCUGCCCACCCACCCCCAUUUCAUCUCGUCCUUAGGGGGAGCUGGCUGUACCUGGAGCUGGUGGGUCUGUGACCGAAGAUCCGCUUUGUACAACAGCAACAGGCCUCCCUCCCUCCUCUUGCUUGCCUGGCGCAGAAGCGCUCACUAUGCUUUAUUUCUCUAAAAUCUACAGUGGAAUCUUCAGGACUGGUGACACAGAGUGGUCUCCUGGAUAUUUCCUUACUGGGCACCUGCCCACUCUGCUUUUAUUUCCAGGGAAUAUAAUUCUUAGUUGAUCAUUAAAACAAGCAAGGCAGGUGGCUAUUAUCAUUAAUUACAGUUCACAUGGGAGGAAGCCUAGCAACUUCCCUAAGACAUGCAGCCAGUAAGUAGCAGAGAAAGGGCUUGAACCCAGGUCUUUGGACUUGACCCCCUUUUUCCCCUGUGGUCAAAACUGCAUUCCUGGAACUUAUGGCUGGUUAUGUUUCUGGGAAAGGCACUACAAGUUGAAAUGAUAAAGUCCCUGUCCUGCGCCUGCAGCUGGAAGGAAGAGUGACCUGGCGCUGUUAUUUUUAGAAGGUGGAGAGCUGAGUGAAGACUGCAGCCAGGGUCAGGGUCUGCUUCCCGUGAUGGGGGUGAUUUUUCCAUGGAGGUCCAGCAUUUCCUCUGGGCUCCCUCAUUGAGGAAUAUAACCCACUGCCCUCUAGAAAAGGUGAUCUGGCAGAAAGUGGCUUGCCACGUUGCCUGCUCGGUGUCCUGAUGAGUCAUCUUGUAACAGCCCUGCUAGAAGAGAGACGCAAGGCUUUCAGACAGAAGUUCACUCAGCCACGAUCUUCACAAUCCCUAUACUCUGUUGUAAAUACAAACAAAACCAAAACACAAGCCAACAAACAAAAAACUCCAAAAAAAAACCUUUGUCAUUUUUUAAAUUUUCCCCUUCAUCUCCUCUUUUAUAGAGUGCACCUGUCUGCCUAAUCUAUCUCAUGUAUGUACCAAUCCAUAUUCUAUCAUCUCUCUAUCUACGCCUGCAUGCAGCCGUCUAAACUUGAUAGGAAAUCAGGAAAGCACAGAUGUCUCUCACCCCCACAUUUUCAGUGGGAAAACUACUAUCUUGCUAGCUGUGAAAAUAUCACUCCAUUGACCUUUUGACAAACCUUUGUGCCUGAACCUAAUGACCCAAUUAUAUCCUAUUUUCUACAGCCCUGAUGGGAAAAGGACGUGGGUUCUGUAAAGAGAGAAAAAGAGGAUACAGCCAUGAAAUUGUUCAGCUCCACUCCAGCUUCUCAGUGGAGAUGAGACCAAACCAUUCCUGACAGAAGAGAAUCGAUUGUUUUCUUCUCCAGCUAUCUCAGAAAACUGGUCUCCUCCCACGGUGGUUGAGCCGUUUGUUUUCUGGGACUGAGAUUUAGCAUGGUUUUGGGUGUUUGCUAGGCGAGUGCAACACGAGGGGACGAGGCGCAGUACUGAACUCGGCUUCUGAUGUAAUGUUAGCAAGCUGGAUUGCAUUCCAUUUUACACUCUUCCCCUGGUCUAGAUAAGAUGCUUUAGGAAAUGAACACUUAGCUGGCAUGAGAGUCUAAUAAAAGGCGGAUGCUUCAUUUCUCUGGCUUAAUUAUUUGAUUGCCAAGGAGGCUGUCUUUCCCUACACCUUAUUCUCAGCUGAUAGCCUGGUGCCCUUGACUGUCCAAAACUGUUACAGGCCCACAGUCCGAGACAGGAUUCUCAUGAGAAAAAGUGCAGGAGGGACAGGAAAUGGGACCCCAGGAGUCUGUUCUCAUGACAUGAAUUCAGUGGAAACAAUGGGAUGGGUCCAUUCUUUUCCAGUUUUCAGUUGACUUUCUUCUUUGAUGAUCUUUCUUUCUUCUGACCCUUCCACCCACCCUGACCCUCUCCCAGGGAUGGGAAACAGGAUAUUUUCACAAAGCCUUUGUUCCUGGGAGGAGCUCACGCUCAGUCUCGGGUCAAACUGUCCCUUCCCAUUCCAACUACUCAGGUGCCCAUGGACUUCCUGUAGGAACAUCUCCAGGAGUCCAGGCUUCCCUGCCCAUAUUUUAUCUGAAUGGGAGUAAAAAGCACCCUUCUAAUUCAUAUAAAGUCUAAAUUGCUUUUUGAAGUGCCACAAAAUAAGAUAUUAAAUACCAA